rnacentral:lncRNA from 1 species
UGUUGUGGUGGAGGUAUUAGUGCUCUAAGAAAGUCAUUCUGUUUAUGCAUACUACACUUUAGUAUUCCCCUUGCUUUGAUAGUUGCCAAGCUUGAGAAAAAUAUAUAUAUCACAUGUGUAUUGACUUAGAUUUCAUUGUAUAUCAUUUUAUGAAUGAUGUUUGUGGGUAACAUUACUGCAAACCCUCACGAGACAACACUCGUCCACUAGGAUAACCUAGG